rnacentral:rRNA from 1 species
UACCAGCACCCCGAGUGGUCGGGACGUUUUAUUGGGCCUAAAGCAUCCGUAGCCGGUUCUACAAGUCUUCCGUUAAAUCCACCUGCUUAACAGAUGGGCUGCGGAAGAUACUAUAGAGCUAGGAGGCGGGAGAGGCAAGCGGUACUCGAUGGGUAGGGGUAAAAAUCCGUUGAUCCAUUUGAAGACCACCAGUGGCGAAGGCGGCUUGCCAGAAACGCGC